AGAGUACAAUAUUGGUUACGUUUUAAGGGAGGCAGGGAUUUUUGGCAGGAUUUGAUUCAUGAUGUGUGUGUAGAUAUUAAUGUUAGGGGACAAUGUGAGAGUGUACGUUUUAGUAGGAAAACGUAUUAUCUAACCCACACUCCGGAACAGAAGAGGGCGGUAAUGCACCAAUAAGCUGGAUGCCAACCGCCGUUAAACUGGAAGGAAGACGAAUAUGACAGCUUGCUGUGAGAGUCAACGGUGAGAAUAUAUUUUUUUUCCGAAAUAAUUAUUUCAAUUGAAGUGUAUAAGUCAUUUUCAUACAGUGGUAUUGUUUUUGGAGUUAAUAAUUUAUUAAAACUAAGGCGUAAGGUAAGCAACAUAUAAGCAAAAGGUCUAAAGACGCCAUCCCCAGGUAUCACAGGCUCAAUAUGUCUGUGACCUACAUAAUAUAGCAUAUUUGUGAUUUAGCUGUAAACAUGUUUUAUAAUGCAUAACUAACAGUGAAGCUCCAUUAAGUACACGACUCAAUAGUAGAUUUACAUAAACUAUAUAUACUUCUUGAAGACUAUUACUAAAAUGUCUAUUUAUCAUCUGAAUGGAUAAUGUUUGAUAAGUAUUGUAGAUGAGCACAUCUAACAGACAUGAAACAGGUGUCUGAGUGAUAUCUGUGUGUGAUAGAAUUGUGUGUAGAAUUCACUUUUGUCAACACUGCUAUAGAUGAAUGUGAGUCAUGUAAACAAACAAAUCUACAUAAAGUAACUAAACAUAAGUAAUCUAUUUUAUUUGUCCAUUUGCAAUAUGGAUAAUUUAAGGAACAUUUUUGUUGGAUAAAAAGUGAGUUACAUCAGUUAUUAGUUCAACAUGUAAAUGCAGUAUAUCACAGAUAUAUGACAGAGGAGACUGACUCUUGUCUGGAUGUUACAGGGACAGAUGAGACACAUAUGUGUUUAUCUGCUGUAGAGUAACUGAUGAAGGAAUGCUGCCAUCAAAGGAUUUGUAUCUUUUGUGGUGGAGCAGGACCUGCAAGGAAAGAUGAAAAAGAGGGAAAACCUGAAACAAAAGAAUAAUGUAGUCGUGCUCAUGGGGUGCAGGCACAUGAAAGUUCGGAGCAGACACAGCGGUCAGAUUGUCCUGCACGUGUUCUUCUGCUCUCGCUUCAAGGUUGUGUGGUUCAGAGAGCCGUCAUCAUGGUCUUCCUCAUCCUGUUGCUCAACGACAUCCCUGUUGAGAAGAGUGAGAUUGUGAAGUGCAGCGGCAGAACUAUAUCAGCUGUGUUCAGAUCGCAGGAGGAUGUUGGGUUCACCAUCUGUAAAUACAUGAUUGUUAGAACAAGAAGUUUGAAUGAAGCUUUGUAUCGUGUUGUUGACUUGUGCAUGUAUGCAUUUAUUGUGAUGCUAACUUUUAUACAUUAUUUUAAUCAUUUAGACAUGUUUUUUUUGUUCUCAGUAAAUAAAAUAUAAAUAUUUUAUCCAUUCAUGUAUUUAUUGCUUGACUGAAAAUGGAUGUAUUCACAUCGACUGCAUUUAUUUAACUAGUAUAUAUUCAUGUACAGCU